AACCAGAUGCAGUUUUUCGAUGUUACCAUAUAAAUUAAAUUU
rnacentral:sRNA from 1 species